rnacentral:rRNA from 1 species
CAGUCGCCACGGUAAUACAGAGGGUGCGAGCGUUAAUCGGAUUUACUGGGCGUAAAGCGCGCGUAGGCGGUUACUCAAGUCAGAGGUGAAAGCCCGGGGCUCAACCCCGGAACUGCCUUUGAAACUAGGUGACUAGAAUCUUGGAGAGGUCAGUGGAAUUCCGAGUGUAGAGGUGAAAUUCGUAGAUAUUCGGAAGAACACCAGUGGCGAAGGCGACUGACUGGACAAGUAUUGACGCUGAGGUGCGAAAGCGUGGGGAGCAAACAGGAUUAGAUACCCGCGUAGUCCCUGUCUCUUAUAC